AGAGUUUGAUCCUGGCUCAGAUUGAACGUUAGCGGGAUGCUUUACACAUGCAAGUCGAACGGCAGCACAGAGGAACUUGUUCCUUGGGUGGCGAGUGGCGGACGGGUGAGUAAUGUAUCGGAACGUGCCCAGUAGUGGGGGAUAACUACGCGAAAGCGUGGCUAAUACCGCAUAUUCUCUACGGAGGAAAGGGGGGGAUCAUUUGACCUCUCGCUAUUGGAGCGGCCGAUAUUAGAUUAGCUAGUUGGUGGGGUAACGGCCUACCAAGGCGACGAUCAGUAGCCGGACUGAGAGGUUGAACGGCCACAUUGGGACUGAGAUACGGCCCAGACUCCUACGGGAGGCAGCAGUCGGGAAUUUCGCGCAAUGGAGGAAACUCUGACGCAGUGACGCCGCGUAUAGGAAGAAGGUUUUCGGAUUGUAAACUAUUGUCGUUAGGGAUGAUACAAGACAGUACCUAAGGAGGAAGCUCCGGCUAACUACGUGCCAGCAGCCGCGGUAAUACGUAGGGAGCGAGCGUUAUCCGGAUUUAUUGGGUGUAAAGGGUGCGUAGACGAGAAAGCAAGUUAGUUGUGAAAUCCCUCGGCUCAACCGAGGAACUGCAACUAAAACUACUUUUCUUGAGUGCAGGAGAGGAAAGUGGAAUUCCUAGUGUAGCGGUGAAAUGCGUAGAUAUUAGGAGGAACACCAGUGGCGAAGGCGACUUUCUGGACUGUAACUGACGUUGAGGCACGAAAGUGUGGGGAGCAAACAGGAUUAGAUACCCUGGUAGUCCACACCGUAAACGAUGGAUACUAGGUGUAGGGUGUAUUAAGCAUUCUGUGCCGUCGCAAACGCAAUAAGUAUCCCACCUGGGGAGUACGGCCGCAAGGUUGAAACUCAAAGGAAUUGACGGGGGCCCGCACAAGCAGUGGAGUAUGUGGUUUAAUUCGAAGCAACGCGAAGAACCUUACCAGGGCUUGACAUAUAUUAGAAUAUACUAGAGAUAGUAUAGUCCUUCGGGACUGAUAUACAGGUGGUGCAUGGUUGUCGUCAGCUCGUGUCGUGAGAUGUUGGGUUAAGUCCCGCAACGAGCGCAACCCCUGUUUCUAGUUGCCAGCACGUAAUGGUGGGAACUCUAGAGAGACUGCCGGUGAUAAAUCGGAGGAAGGUGGGGACGACGUCAAAUCAUCAUGCCCUUUAUGUCCUGGGCUACACACGUACUACAAUGGCUAUUACAGAGGGAAGCAAUACAGCAAUGUGGAGCAAAACCCCAAAAAUAGUCUCAGUUCGGAUUGAAGGCUGAAAUUCGCCUUCAUGAAGCCGGAAUUGCUAGUAAUGGCAGGUCAGCAUACUGCCGUGAAUACGUUCCCGGGCCUUGCACUCACCGCCCGUCA
rnacentral:rRNA from 1 species